rnacentral:rRNA from 1 species
UACGGAGGGUGCAAGCGUUAUCCGGAUUCACUGGGUUUAAAGGGCGCGUAGGCGGGCUCACAAGUCAGGGGUGAAAUCCCACGGCUCAACCGUGGAAGUGCCUUUGAUACUGUGGGUCUUGAGGGAGGUAGGGGCGUGCGGAACUUCCGGUGGAGCGGUGAAAUGCGUAGAUAUCGGAAGGAACACCGGUGGCGAAAGCGGCGCGCUGGACCUCUACUGACGCUGAGGCGCGAAAGCCAGGGGAGCAAACGGG